rnacentral:sRNA from 2 species
CAAAGAGACCGCAAAACCGUUGGGAGGGAAGCGAAUGCAGCCUGAUGAGUCCGUUCGGGUUCAGGGAGGGUCUGUCGACCAGGGAGUGUUAGUCAGCUCGCGAGAGUGGCUGGCCUUUCUAGGCCGUUGACCCCUCUGCAUUCCCGUCUUGGAUUCGGCCAACAAAAGCAGCUGGAGGCCAAAGAACGUCGGAGGGUAGGUGCCUUUAGCGAUCUCCUGGUCGUUGGAGAACUUAUAGCCUCUGGUCAUUAUUCGGUUUUGCUGCUGAGGGGUUUGUGUGGCCAUUGCACAAGUCAGCGCAGGCCCCCCAUGGGCCGGGUCGUUUCUGGUCGUGUGGGAGUCGCAGCAAGGAACUGUCUGCAGUGCCUGCUGACGGUCUUUCUGCUCGGCCAGGAGGCGGGCCACUACGUGCGCUGGAGUUGUUGGUUUGGGAUGGCUUCAUCCGA